AGUGAACGCUGGCGGUAGGCCUAACACAUGCAAGUCGAACGGCAGCACAGUAAGAGCUUGCUCUUACGGGUGGCGAGUGGCGGACGGGUGAGGAAUACAUCGGAAUCUACUUUUUCGUGGGGGAUAACGUAGGGAAACUUACGCUAAUACCGCAUACGACCUACGGGUGAAAGCAGGGGAUCUUCGGACCUUGCGCGAUUGAAUGAGCCGAUGUCGGAUUAGCUAGUUGGCGGGGUAAAGGCCCACCAAGGCGACGAUCCGUAGCUGGUCUGAGAGGAUGAUCAGCCACACUGGAACUGAGACACGGUCCAGACUCCUACGGGAGGCAGCAGUGUGGAAUAUUGGACAGUGGGCGCAAGCCUGAUCCAGCCAUACCGCGUGGGUGAAGAAGGCCUUCGGGUUGUAAAGCCCUUUUGUUGGGAAAGAAAAGCAGCAGGUUAAUACCCCGCUGUUCUGACGGUACCCAAAGAAUAAGCACCGGCUAACUUCGUG
rnacentral:rRNA from 1 species